UGAAAUAUUUACCGUACAUACCUGGUCGGACUUGCCUUUCAUUUUGAAAAUAACUAUCUUAACGGCUGGUUUGCGUCUGACUCCAAAUGGCAAAUGCCAACCAUUAGAAGAGUGAUUCCCAAAAGGUAUGGUUGAGAGGUUAAAACUCACCCCAGGCCGCCAUGCAGUCAAUCUGGAGAGGAAGCUUCUCCAAAAUCGGCACCGGCUCGUAAGCGUCGUGCAUCUUGGCUCACAGCGGAGCACCCCGGUGGCACCCCGGUGGUUCCGAGCCGGGAGUGAGGGGAGGCUCGUCGGGCGAGGGCUCCACUGAGUGGGCGCUAGUCACGGUGGUGGUGGUACCUUCAUGAAACAACCGCAGUAGCUUUAACGUUCACAAACCACGGGGGAAAAAAAAGACAAAAAUAAAUAAUUUCCUUUGGUUGUCAAAUAUAUCCAGGACCAAAACAACUGACUGUUAGCCCCCAAGCUAAGAAGUUAACAAGAGCGCCUCUUUCCACACCACUUAUAACUAGCUCAGUCCACGGACUUGUUAUGUCCAAAACUAC